GAUGAACGCUGGCGGCGUGCCUAAUACAUGCAAGUCGAGCGAACAGACGAGGAGCUUGCUCCUCUGACGUUAGCGGCGGACGGGUGAGUAACACGUGGAUAACCUACCUAUAAGACUGGGAUAACUUCGGGAAACCGGAGCUAAUACCGGAUAAUAUAUUGAACCGCAUGGUUCAAUAGUGAAAGACGGUUUUGCUGUCACUUAUAGAUGGAUCCGCGCCGCAUUAGCUAGUUGGUAAGGUAACGGCUUACCAAGGCAACGAUGCGUAGCCGACCUGAGAGGGUGAUCGGCCACACUGGAACUGAGACACGGUCCAGACUCCUACGGGAGGCAGCAGUAGGGAAUCUUCCGCAAUGGGCGAAAGCCUGACGGAGCAACGCCGCGUGAGUGAUGAAGGUCUUCGGAUCGUAAAACUCUGUUAUUAGGGAAGAACAAAUGUGUAAGUAACUAGGCACUUCUUGACGGUACCUAAUCAGAAAGCCACGGCUAACUACGUG
rnacentral:rRNA from 1 species